rnacentral:rRNA from 1 species
UACGUAGGUGGCAAGGCGUUGUCCGGAAUUAUUUGGGCGUAAAGCGCGCGCAGGCGGGUCCUUUAAGUCUGAUGUGAAAGCCCACGGCUCAACCGUGGAGGGUCAUUGGAAAUGGGGGACUUGAGUACAGAAGAGAAGAGUGGAAUUCCACGUGUAGCGGGUGAAAAUCGUAGAGAUGUGGAGGAACACCAGUGGCGAAGGCGGACUCUUUGGUCUGUAAA